CCUAUUACUGCGACUGGAAAUGUAGAUUGUGAACGCAUCGGUUCGUACAAAGUCAAACUUUGCGGUUAUAUACGGU
rnacentral:ncRNA from 1 species